rnacentral:rRNA from 1 species
CGUUCUGUAAGCCUGUGAAGGUGUGCUGUGAGGCAUGCUGGAGGUAUCAGAAGUGCGAAUGCUGACAUAAGUAACGAUAAAGCGGGUGAAAAGCCCGCUCGCCGGAAGACCAAGGGUUCCUGUCCAACGUUAAUCGGGGCAGGGUGAGUCGACCCCUAAGGCGAGGCCGAAAGGCGUAGUCGAUGGGAAACAGGUUAAUAUUCCUGUACUUGGUGUUACUGCGAAGGGGGGACGGAGAAGGCUAUGUUGGCCGGGCGACGGUUGUCCCGGUUUAAGCGUGUAGGCUGGUUUUCCAGGCAAAUCCGGAAAAUCAAGGCUGAGGCGUGAUGACGAGGCACUACGGUGCUGAAGCAACAAAUGCCCUGCUUCCAGGAAAAGCCUCUAAGCAUCAGGUAACAUCAAAUCGUACCCCAAACCGACACAGGUGGUCAGGUAGAGAAUACCAAGGCGCUUGAGAGAACUCGGGUGAAGGAACUAGGCAAAAUGGUGCCGUAACUUCGGGAGAAGGCACGCUGAUAUGUAGGUGAAGUCCCUCGCGGAUGGAGCUGAAAUCAGUCGAAGAUACCAGCUGGCUGCAACUGUUUAUUAAAAACACAGCACUGUGCAAACACGAAAGUGGACGUAUACGGUGUGACGCCUGCCCGGUGCCGGAAGGUUAAUUGAUGGGGUCAGCGCAAGCGAAGCUCUUGAUCGAAGCCCCGGUAAACGGCGGCCGUAACUAUAACGGUCCUAAGGUAGCGAAAUUCCUUGUCGGGUAAGUUCCGACCUGCACGAAUGGCGUAAUGAUGGCCAGGCUGUCUCCACCCGAGACUCAGUGAAAUUGAACUCGCUGUGAAGAUGCAGUGUACCCGCGGCAAGACGGAAAGACCCCGUGAACCUUUACUAUAGCUUGACACUGAACAUUGAGCCUUGAUGUGUAGGAUAGGUGGGAGGCUUAGAAGUGUGGACGCCAGUCUGCAUGGAGCCGACCUUGAAAUACCACCCUUUAAUGUUUGAUGUUCUAACGUUGACCCGUAAUCCGGGUUGCGGACAGUGUCUGGUGGGUAGUUUGACUGGGGCGGUCUCCUCCUAAAGAGUAACGGAGGAGCACGAAGGUUGGCUAAUCCUGGUCGGACAUCAGGAGGUUAGUGCAAUGGCAUAAGCCAGCUUGACUGCGAGCGUGACGGCGCGAGCAGGUGCGAAAGCAGGUCAUAGUGAUCCGGUGGUUCUGAAUGGAAGGGCCAUCGCUCAACGGAUAAAAGGUACUCCGGGGAUAACAGGCUGAUACCGCCCAAGAGUUCAUAUCGACGGCGGUGUUUGGCACCUCGAUGUCGGCUCAUCACAUCCUGGGGCUGAAGUAGGUCCCAAGGGUAUGGCUGUUCGCCAUUUAAAGUGGUACGCGAGCUGGGUUUAGAACGUCGUGAGACAGUUCGGUCC